UGCGUAGGGGCAAGCGUUGUCCGGAAUCAUUGGGCGUAAAGAGCGUGUAGGCGGCCAGAUAAGUCGGUGUGAAACUCGAGGCUUAACCUCGAGAUGUCAUCGGAAACCAUCUGGCUAGAGUCCGGAAGAGGAAGUGGAAUUCCUAGGUGAUAGCGGUGAAAGUGACUGCAGAUAUCAAGGAAGAACACCAAUGGCGAAAGCAGCUUUCUGGGACGGUACUGACGCUGAGACGCGAAAGCGUGG
rnacentral:rRNA from 1 species